GAUGAACGCUAGCGGCAGGCCUAACACAUGCAAGUCGAGGGAGAGGUUACCUUCGGGUAACCAACACCGGCGCACGGGUGCGUAACGCGUAUACAAUCUGCCUUUCACAUAGGGAUAGCCCGAAGAAAUUUGGAUUAAUACCUAAUGGUAUAUAAGAGCGGCAUCGUUUUUAUCUUAAAGCUACGGUGGUGAAAGAUGAGUAUGCGUUCUAUUAGCUAGUUGGAGAGGUAACGGCUCCCCAAGGCGACGAUAGAUAGGGGUUCUGAGAGGGAUGUCCCCCACACUGGUACUGAGAUACGGACCAGACUCCUACGGGAGGCAGCAGUGAGGAAUAUUGGACAAUGGUCGGAAGACUGAUCCAGCCAUGCCGCGUGCAGGAUGAAGGUCCUAUGGAUUGUAAACUGCUUUUGUAAGGGAAGAAUAAGGAGUACGUGUACUUUGAUGACGGUACCUUACGAAUAAGCAUCGGCUAACUCCGUG
rnacentral:rRNA from 1 species